CAAAACGGACAGUCUAUCUACUCAAUUUCAAAGAAGCUUUACUUCAAAACCACCAAGGCAACCCCUUCAGCUAACGGGAAAAUUCAGGAAUGCACGUUACGCCUGGAACUAUAAGGCAUACGAUGCAAUGGAUGUUCGCAAGACUGGUAACAACUACUACUCGUUCGAGCAGCUAGUAUUUACAUUCGAUGGAGGCAAGUGCGGCAUCUUCUUUGUAAGUGGCUGGGGCGGAAGAGGUAAUGACUAUGAACUCCGCGUCAAGAAAGGGGGAAAUGUACAUUCAAGGUGUUUAGAGAAAUACAAAUCCCAC
rnacentral:lncRNA from 1 species